rnacentral:rRNA from 1 species
CUACGGAGGGGGUUAGCGUUGUUCGGAAUUACUGGGCGUAAAGCGUACGUAGGCGGAUUAGUAAGUUAGGGGUGAAAUCCCGAGGCUCAACCUCGGAACUGCCUCUAAAACUGCUAGUCUUGAGUUCGAGAGAGGUGAGUGGAAUUCCUAGUGUAGAGGUGAAAUUCGUAGAUAUUAGGAGGAACACCAGUGGCGAAGGCGGCUCACUGGCUCGAUACUGACGCUGAGGUACGAAAGUGUGGGGAGCAAACAGGAUUAGAAACCCUAGUAGUCC